rnacentral:rRNA from 1 species
UACGUAGGGGGCAAGCGUUGUCCGGAAUCAUUGGGCGUAAAGCGCGUGUAGGCGGUGUGUCACGUCGGCCGUGAAAACCUGCAGCUUAACUGUGGGCGUGCGGUCGAUACGGGCAUCACUGGAGUUCGGCAGGGGAGACUGGAAUUCCUGGUGUAGCGGUGAAAUGCGCAGAUAUCAGGAGGAACACCGGUGGCGAAGGCGGGUCUCUGGGCCGAUACUGACGCUGAGGAGCGAAAGCGUGGGGAGCAAACAGG